GUUUUUCCAAAACUCUUGGCUUUCCCCAAAAAUUCUUGAAUUUCUCCAAAAUCUUUGAGGACCUCCAAAAAUUCUUGAGUUUCUCCAAAAUUUUUUGGAGUCUUUCCAAAAUUUUUGAGUUUCUCCACCUCUCUCGAGGUUCUCCAACCUCGACCUUCACCGUAAGCUCCGCCCCCACCACCGCCACCGCCCCAGCUGACACCCCCAAGCCCCGCCCACCCGUCGUCUCCGUCUUCCAAUCCUGCUCCGCCUCCCACCCGGAGGUGGAGCUCCUCUGCCUGGUCACCGACCUGGCCCCGCCCACCGUCGUCAUCGAUUGGCUGAAGGACGAACUCCCCGUGGAGGGAGGCCACGCCCACACCGAGGAGGCCACGCCCGGCCACGCCCCCGGCACCUUCCGGGUGGUGUCGCGCCUCAAAAUCUCGGCGGCCGAUUGGUGGGACGGGAGCUUCUCCUGCCGCGUCACGCACGCCGCUUCCGGAAGCGUCCGCGAGGCCGUGGCCGGGAGGUGCUCGG